UGAGACCCCAGGGGUGAAGGGCGGGGGAUCCCAAUCCCAGCCCUGUUUUCCCCUCCCCUUUCCCCGCCUCCUUCUCGCCCCUCCCCCCUCCUCCCCUCUGGUUGGAAAGUUUCUAGAAUCUCUUCCCAGCGGCCUUUGCGGUUCCAACAUGGCGGAGCUGACGGUGGAGGUUCGCGGCUCUAACGGGGCUUUCUACAAGGCCAUUUAAGCACCCGUCUAAAAAAAAAUGAGUAGAUCUUCAUAGUAAGGUAGGAUCUACAAGACACAAACUGAAGAGAAAAGCGAAGUUCAGAACAAAUUGUAGCAAAUGUUUAACAAUUUAAAGGAGAUUUGUAUAUUAUUAAAAUUACAUUUUUUCCUGUGAA
rnacentral:lncRNA from 10 species